CGCUGGCGGCGUGCCUAAUACAUGCAAGUCGAACGCUUUGUGGUUCAACUGAUUUGAAGAGCUUGCUCAGAUAUGACGAUGGACAUUGCAAAGAGUGGCGAACGGGUGAGUAACACGUGGGAAACCUACCUCUUAGCAGGGGAUAACAUUUGGAAACAGAUGCUAAUACCGUAUAACAAUGACAACCGCAUGGUUGUUAUUUAAAAGAUGGUUCUGCUAUCACUAAGAGAUGGUCCCGCGGUGCAUUAGCUAGUUGGUAAGGUAAUGGCUUACCAAGGCGAUGAUGCAUAGCCGAGUUGAGAGACUGAUCGGCCACAAUGGGACUGAGACACGGCCCAUACUCCUACGGGAGGCAGCAGUAGGGAAUCUUCCACAAUGGGCGAAAGCCUGAUGGAGCAACGCCGCGUGUGUGAUGAAGGGUUUCGGCUCGUAAAACACUGUUGUAAGAGAAGAAUGACAUUGAGAGUAACUGUUCAAUGUGUGACGGUAUCUUACCAGAAAGGAACGGCUAAAUACGUGCCAGCAGCCGCGGUAAUACGUAUGUUCCAAGCGUUAUCCGGAUUUAUUGGGCGUAAAGCGAGCGCAGACGGUUAUUUAAGUCUGAAGUGAAAGCCCUCAGCUCAACUGAGGAAUUGCUUUGGAAACUGGAUGACUUGAGUGCAGUAGAGGAAAGUGGAACUCCAUGUGUAGCGGUGAAAUGCGUAGAUAUAUGGAAGAACACCAGUGGCGAAGGCGGCUUUCUGGACUGUAACUGACGUUGAGGCUCGAAAGUGUGGGUAGCAAACAGGAUUAGAUACCCUGGUAGUCCACACCGUAAACGAUGAGUGCUAGGUGUUUGAGGGUUUCCGCCCUUAAGUGCCGCAGCUAACGCAUUAAGCACUCCGCCUGGGGAGUACGACCGCAAGGUUGAAACUCAAAGGAAUUGACGGGGACCCGCACAAGCGGUGGAGCAUGUGGUUUAAUUCGAAGCAACGCGAAGAACCUUACCAGGUCUUGACAUCCCUUGACAACUCCAGAGAUGGAGCGUUCCCUUCGGGGACAAGGUGACAGGUGGUGCAUGGUUGUCGUCAGCUCGUGUCGUGAGAUGUUGGGUUAAGUCCCGCAACGAGCGCAACCCUUAUUACUAGUUGCCAGCAUUCAGUUGGGCACUCUAGUGAGACUGCCGGUGACAAACCGGAGGAAGGUGGGGAUGACGUCAAAUCAUCAUGCCCCUUAUGACCUGGGCUACACACGUGCUACAAUGGCGUAUACAACGAGUUGCCAACCCGCGAGGGUGAGCUAAUCUCUUAAAGUACGUCUCAGUUCGGAUUGUAGGCUGCAACUCGCCUACAUGAAGUCGGAAUCGCUAGUAAUCGCGGAUCAGCACGCCGCGGUGAAUACGUUCCCGGGUCUUGUACACACCGCCCGUCACACCAUGAGAGUUUGUAACACCCAAAGCCGGUGGGGUAACCUUCGGGAGCCAGCCGUCUAAGGUGGGACAGAUGAUUUAGGGGUG
rnacentral:rRNA from 1 species